GAAUACUCCCUCCUGGAAUCGUCAGCGAGUCAUCCUUGAUAUGUUCAUCCUAACCGAUGAUGGAUGUUCCUCUCUGUUAGAUAUUUAUUAUCUCCUUACCCAGUAACAUUUAGUAGAUAAUAAAUUUCUGCUCCUCCUGUGUUGAAGUCUAUCUUCCCCAGUUGAGUUGAGUGCGCAUUUCCUUAGUGAAAUCGCUUUUCCUGCAUGAGUCGAGUAUUUCAGUUUUAUCCUGACUUACUCGUAUCCCCCGCAGAUGUUCU
rnacentral:lncRNA from 1 species